GCGGGUGUGGCGAAAUUGGCAGACGCACUAGACUUAGGAUCUAGCGCCUUCGGGCGUGCAGGUUCAACUCCUGUCACCCGCACCA
rnacentral:tRNA from 1 species